GAUGAAGGAUGAGUUUUGAAUAGACUGCUUCGAGUAUAAUCUGUAUAUGUUUUUAAAACAUUUUUUAUAUAAAUGAUAUAUUUGUAUUUUUCAGAGAUUGUUGUCUCUGUAGAUCCAUAAUAAACUAAUUAGGUACUAGUUGGUGUUUUCUUCUCGUUACAUGUACACAGGACCUCGGUUUUUUGUGCAAUCCGAAUGACUAGACAGCUGUCCUUGUCAGGCCCUCCACCCUGCACCACUGAUAGGGGGGGGGGGAAACCACAUCGCAAAAUCCUGAUGAACUUUCUUGGCCAGUGCAGGGAUCAAACACAUGACCUCCAGGCUAGCGAGCUAGCGUCUUACCCACUUAGCCACCGUGGCUCCAAUAUCUGUGUGUAGGUACAGGUAAGCAAAAAACUUGUUUAAAUUCACCAUUCUGAAUUUUAUUCAUUUCUUAUAAUAGGUUGUAAGACUCCAUCAAGGUUUUCAAAAAGUCUCCAAAACAGAAACAUUACAGUAAUAACAAGAGAACCAAAAAUCUCCAAAUUUCAAAGCAGUUUCUCGAAAUAAAAAAGCCCAAGAAAUCCUAAAAUCUUGAAUAUUGGCUUGUAGCUAGAGUGUUCAUCAAUAAAAAAACAGAUAAAUGGACAAGGGUGAUGACAAAGUACAACAACAAGAUCAGGCACAAGGUUUUGGGACAGGCUGUGGUGGUGUGGUAAUUCAACAACUAGUGGUCCAUCCUAAUAAGUAUGACCAGGUGGUAUUUAAUACAGCCAUUCAACCAAAUAUUAGAAUAUUACGGAGUAGACUUACACCACAACUUGGCUCCCAAGAUGGAUUAUCUAUAGUGUCAACACUCCAACGAAGUGUGAUGUAUAAUUUUACCUAUAAAAACAGAUAUUGCAGAUUUGCAAAAAACUUUUUAAUGGUGUGAGUGCCAAGUGUUAAGUGUUCACUUUACCUGUAAAGCCAGCUGGACACAAACACUGAUAGGUAUCACCGUUUUCUCUACAUGUGGCACCAUUUAAACAUGGGGCAUUAUCACAUGGUUUUAUAACUGUUUCACACCGACUACCUGCAAUAGUCAAAGAGGCAUCUAUAUUUGAUUCAUAUACCUGUAUCAAUUAGACAUGUAUCAAUUAGACAUCUGGAAAUCUAUGAAAAUAUGGUUUACUUGUAAGAAAAAUCAUCUGUACAAUUGUCAUUUAAUUAAAAAAUAUCAAUUUAAAAGUAAACUAGAAAUCCUAAGGAGUACUGAUGUGUUUCGGUAUGUCAUGUCACGUCACAUCACGCCUUGUCACAUCAACAUUCAAGUUACACCAUGAAUUACUGAUUUAGUAACAUCCAAUACCUAUUAAAGUGGAAAAACCUGUCAAUUUGGACUCUUAAUAAA